UACGUAGGGUGCAAGCGUUGUCCGGAAUUAUUGGGCGUAAAGAGCUUGUAGGCGGUUUGUCGCGUCUGCUGUGAAAUUUCGGGGCUCAACCCCGAACUUGCAGUGGGUACGGGCAGACUAGAGUGUGGUAGGGGAGACUGGAAUUCCUGGUGUAGCGGUGAAAUGCGCAGAUAUCAGGAGGAACACCGAUGGCGAAGGCAGAUCUCUGGGCCACUACUGACGCUGAGGCGCGAAGGCGUGGGGAGCGAACGGG
rnacentral:rRNA from 1 species